CAUUAGGAAUCAGUGGUAUUAUUAUCGUCUACCAGGACUGACCUGGUGCUGCUCAGAGCUGGGGGCUCAAAGCAGGGCCUCCCUUCAUCUUCUUAAUUAUUCUCUAGCAGCUCUGAGUCUCCUAAAGAUUGAUCCUAGAGAAAAGACUAUGUCACUUACUUCUUUUUGUGAUUGUAAAAACACGCAUAUUUACUGCAGAAAAUUUGAAAAAUAGAGAAAUGUGUAAAGAAGAAAAUGUACAGGAUAAUUUUAGAAUCAAAAUCAAUCUGAUUAAUUCAGGAAAUGAUUAUUUACUGAGCACCUACUAUGUGUCAGCCACUGUUCUUGGUGCUGGGGACAUAGCAGUGAAAAAAAACAAAGUCCUCACCCUCGUGGAGCCUAUAUUUCAGUAGGGACAGUCAGUACAGUAGAGGAAGGGGCUGGGCUGAUGGAACAGAAUGCCUUUUUGAAUAGGGUGGUCAGGACAAGAGGAAGCAAGGGAUGCAGCUAUAUGGGGAAGAGCGUUGCUGGCAGAAGGAAGAAGAUCUGCCCAGGUGUUGGAUAAGAACCUGCUUAUCCCUGUGCAUUCAGGGAUACAAAGGAGGCCAGCAUGGCUAAGAUGAGGCAGGGGCAACCGGGGGGAGAACAGGUGGGACUUGCCAGCCAUGAAGAGGACCUUAGAUUGGUGUUGAGUGAAAUGGAAAGCCAAAUGCAGGGUCUUGAACAGAAGAGGGCCAUGAUCAGCCUUAUGUUUUGAAAUGAUCAUUCUGGACACUAGUUGGAAAACAGACAGGGGCUGGGGGUGGGGUUGGCAAGGGCAGAAACUGGGAAGCCAUUUGGUUGUUGCGAAAGUUACACAAAGCUAUGAAAGCAGGGCUGGCCUGGUUGAAGGAAGGGUGAAGGUAGGGGGAGGGCUGGCAGUUCCUCCCACUGGGCCUCUGCCCUUUCCUUUCGUGCUCUCUGAGGUUCCACCAUGGGACCCCGGGGUACCUAGGAUUACAUUUUGAAAGCUAUUGGACUAGAGGUUGUCCAAGGGCCCUUCCAGCUUUGGCUCCUGUGCUCUUGUGUUUCAGGACCAUGCUGAUUCUGUGGAACCAGGCCCCGGCUCUACCAGCCAGGCCUCCGAACAUGUCAACUUGAGAACUGAACAGGUUCAGGGUCUAGGAAGGGGAGAGAUUUCAAAAUUUUAAUUAAAAAAUAUUUUAAAUGUUUAAAUUUUUGUAGAGACAGAGUCUUCCCAUGUUGCCCAGGCUGGUCUCAAACUCCUGGGCUCAGGUGAUCCUCCCGCCUCGGCCUCCCAAAAUAUUGGGAUUACAGACAUGAACCAUGAGAUUUGGAAACUUAAUUCAGCUCCCACGUACUGAAUGUGGCCAGCCCUGUGUGGGGAUUGUAAUGAUGAGUAAGAGGAAAUGUCUGCUCCAAGAAACUCACUGGCUGGGAUGGGAACUAGGGAAUCACACGAAUGGCCCAUCCCAAAGUCUGAGAGGCCCCCGGCCCCUCCCUGCCUGGCCGUUCUUCCAUGUGGCCCCUGAGCCAGUGGUUCCCAAACUGGGCAGGUCAUAGAGUCAUCGAGGAACUUCAGAAUAUGCAGAUGCCCAGACUGUGCCCUCAAAGAUUCAAAUUCAGUUAGUCCAGGAUGGGUGGGGCCUGGGAAUCUGUUCAGACAAAGGCCUGGCCUGAAGCCUGGGCUGGAGGGUUCAGUCCUGACAGAAGCGCAGAGACUGCACGAAAGCUUCUGCCAGCCUCAUCAAGCCCGUGCUGGGCAGGAUGUGGAAACCAAGCCUGUCUUCCAGUGGGAUCCUGAGGUGGGGGAGUGCUGGAGGAGGGGGUGGCAGCUCCUUUAUCAGCUGUCCCCAACAGAGGCCCUUCCCCCAGGAAGGAAUGUUAAAAAACUCCCAGGAAGGAAUUGCUAGGUUUGGAGACCAUGGGAAUUCCCCAUCUCCCCCAAUCUCCUCAGCCACCUCAAAUCCACCAGCCCGUCUCCCCACGUUUGGGUUAACUCCUUGUUGGCCCGGAAUGUCUCCCCUGGGUUGAGCUACUGAUCUGUGAGAUCACUUAGUGGCCUGAGAUAUUUCCAGAAUACAAGCAACACUGACAAAAAUAUUCUUGUAGGGUCCCACAAAUCCCACUGAGGAAGGACCCCUACAGGUGGAGAGGAGUAUGGGGUAUGCAGACUGGAAGGUGGGACCCUAAGAUUCAUUCCAGAACUGGAACGAAAUCAGGCACUUCCAAAGAGGAGAGAGAUGGGAAGCAGGAGGAGGAAGCAGGAAGAGGAAGAGAACGAAUCUUAUGUGAAUGAAUGGUAAUUUUCUCUCAGUUACUGGGAAGAAAAAAAAAAAAAAUAACAAAAUCAGACCUUAGUCUGGUCCACUAAAAAGAAUUCUCUGAAUCAGACUCCUUUCCUGGAAGUUGUGAACUUUAUCCUCUGGCAGCCAUUAAUCUAAUAUUAAGCCCCUUAACCUUCCUAAUUGUUCUCUUUCAGUAUCAGCUGGUUUCAUAUUAAACUUUCAAUCUUUCCCAUAAUGCAGUUACCUCCAACUCCAGCCAGAUCCAAUUCAGAGCUGCGGUCAGCUCAGACCUUUGCCUGCUCUUGGCAACACGUCCCCCUGUCCUGCUCCUCUGCAAUCUGCCCCUCUUUUUCUUCAUGUGCUGUGAAGGCAUCAUGUGGAUGGGUGUUCAGCUCCUGGAUUGGGGAUGCACAGAGCCUGAGGGACACACUUUGCAAAUCUGCACCUUGCACUUUUGAGUUCUGGUCUGCAAGGUCUCCUUUAUUCUUUUGGACCAAGGCUGUCCGUGGGAGAGGGCAGCCUCCCGCCUGUCAGAGCAAAUCAGCCUCAGGCGCUUUCUGCGGCUCUGGUAUUUGAGCUUUGUUUUCCCUCUCUCCCGGGAAGAACUCAUUGAAAUAGUUUCUCUGGGAAAGACAAAGCAUCUCGCCCAGAUGCUGAAGGAUCACUUGGUACCUGCCUGUCUUGGUUUCCCAUUGUGCCGGUGAAGGCGCAUCAUCAACUCUAAAGCUGACCUGUGGUUCUGUCUCCAGACAGCUAACUCAGACAUCACCCUCUUGCAGCCAGCUGCACAGCCUGAGUUGGAGUUCUGGCCUCUCCUAGCAGUGAGUGACAGUGUUGGAGGGGCCUUGGACACCUUGGGUAAUUGCUAACUAAAUAUGAGCAGCUAGGGGAAGGUCUUCUGGUCCACGGGAGAGCCAACGGGGCAUUUCCUCUUCUGUUUUCCAGUCAGGGUAGAAAGCUAGAAAGAAUCCUAAAACUCACUAUCCAAGUCCCCAUUGUGUGGGGACAGAGGCCUGUCCUGAAGCCUGGGCUGGAGGGUUUAGUCCGAAGCAGAAGCGGGGAGACGGCAUGAGAGGGUUCCUGCUAGCUUCACCAAGCCCGUGCUGUGCGGGAUGAGGAAAAUCAAGCCUGUCUUCCAGGGGGGCCCUGGGGGGGGGGGGGGGGGGCGCUGGAGGAGGGAGUGGCAGCUCCUUUAUCAGCUGCCCCCAGCAGGGGCCCUUCUCCCAGUCACCGCAGACCAAAGCCGGCUCCUCCUGGGGGCUCCAACCUGUCUGUUCAAUGUUUGCCUUGUGCCUUUUCCUGCUGAGGCCACCCCCGGCACCAUCUCAGGCCUCAGAAGGACCACCUCACUGAAAGACCCCUGAGGGUGGGAAGGAAGCAAGCCCUCCGCACCCCGUCCCAGUCUCUCAUCUGGGCACUAGCACACACAGACGCCCAGGCCCCAUCCCUGCGCCAGAAUGGCUUCUCGCGUUUCCCGGUACGAUGCCACUUUCCAUGAGUGCACAGAGAGCCCCUGGGCUGAGCUGGGGGCCGAGCUCCACGCUCUCUGAGCAGCUCUGAGCUGCACGCCAAGGAAGGUCUUUCAGAUGGGCUCUGGGAUGUGGAACAUGGCGUCCAGCCCCAGUGUCCACCCCACGCUCUAGGCACCCUGACUUCCCCCACCUUCUUACCUGAGUAUCAGCUUACUUCCAUCUGGGGACUGAAUAUGGGGCAGAUUCCAGAAAAAGGAGGUUGGGGCACCAACACCAACACCAACUCUGCCAACGGAGCCAGCGCAGCUAUUUGUCUUCAAUCACAGACAGCAGGGGAAGCUCACGGGCUCUGCACCUCCAGCCCCGGAUGUAAGGAUAUUGCCCGUUAGACAAAGGGAAGGCCUCCACUCCACAACUUAUGUUUGUGAGCUUAACCUUUGGAAAAGGCCCAGGUUCUCCUACCAUGUACAGCUGCUGUUGACCUGGACAGUCCAGCAGGGUCUGAACUUCAGUGGAAACCCAGAAGGGGGUCAUUGGCCCUGGAGGUCAAAGUUGCUCUAGGUGACAGGCAACCAAGACUAAGGGCAAACUUGAAACAUAAAUGAGUUCAAGCCCACAAAAAUAAGACAGUUUUAAAUAACUAAA